UACGGAGGGAGCUAGCGUUGUUCGGAAUUACUGGGCGUAAAGGGCGCGUAGGCGGUGUAUUAAGUUAGAUGUGAAAUCCCUGGGCUUAACCUAGGAACUGCAACUAAGACUGAUACGCUAGAGUGCGGUAGAGGAUAGUGGAAUUUCCGGUGUAGCGGUGAAAUGCGUAGAUAUCGGAAGGAACACCAGUGGCGAAGGCGGCUAUCUGGACUGACACUGACGCUGAGGCGCGAGAGCGUGGGGAGCAAACAGG
rnacentral:rRNA from 1 species